rnacentral:rRNA from 1 species
AGGAUGAACGCUAGCUACAGGCUUAACACAUGCAAGUCGAGGGGCAGCAUGGUCUUAGCUUGCUAAGGCCGAUGGCGACCGGCGCACGGGUGAGUAACACGUAUCCAACCUGCCGUCUACUCUUGGACAGCCUUCUGAAAGGAAGAUUAAUACAAGAUGGCAUCAUGAGUCCACAUGUUCACAUGAUUAAAGGUAUUCCGGUAGACGAUGGGGAUGCGUUCCACUAGAUAGUAGGCGGGGUAACGGCCCACCUAGUCUUCGAUGGAUAGGGGUUCUGAGAGGAAGGUCCCCCACAUUGGAACUGAGACACGGUCCAAACUCCUACGGGAGGCAGCAGUGAGGAAUAUUGGUCAAUGGGCGAGAGCCUGAACCAGCCAAGUAGCGUGAAGGAUGACUGCCCUAUGGGUUGUAAACUUCUUUUAUAAAGGAAUAAAGUCGGGUAUGCAUACCCGUUUGCAUGUACUUUAUGAAUAAGGAUCGGCUAACUCCGUGCCAGCAGCCGCGGUAAUACGGAGGAUCCGAGCGUUAUCCGGAUUUAUUGGGUUUAAAGGGAGCGUAGAUGGAUGUUUAAGUCAGUUGUGAAAGUUUGCGGCUCAACCGUAAAAUUGCAGUUGAUACUGGAUAUCUUGAGUGCAGUUGAGGCAGGCGGAAUUCGUGGUGUAGCGGUGAAAUGCUUAGAUAUCACGAAGAACUCCGAUUGCGAAGGCAGCCUGCUAAGCUGCAACUGACAUUGAGGCUCGAAAGUGUGGGUAUCAAACAGGAUUAGAUACCCUGGUAGUCCACACGGUAAACGAUGAAUACUCGCUGUUUGCGAUAUACAGCAAGCGGCCAAGCGAAAGCGUUAAGUAUUCCACCUGGGGAGUACGCCGGCAACGGUGAAACUCAAAGGAAUUGACGGGGGCCCGCACAAGCGGAGGAACAUGUGGUUUAAUUCGAUGAUACGCGAGGAACCUUACCCGGGCUUAAAUUGCAGAUGAAUUACGGUGAAAGCCGUAAGCCGCAAGGCAUCUGUGAAGGUGCUGCAUGGUUGUCGUCAGCUCGUGCCGUGAGGUGUCGGCUUAAGUGCCAUAACGAGCGCAACCCUUGUUGUCAGUUACUAACAAGUCAUGCUGAGGACUCUGACAAGACUGCCAUCGUAAGAUGUGAGGAAGGUGGGGAUGACGUCAAAUCAGCACGGCCCUUACGUCCGGGGCUACACACGUGUUACAAUGGGGGGUACAGAGGGCCGCUACCACGCGAGUGGAUGCCAAUCCCAAAAACCUCUCUCAGUUCGGACUGGAGUCUGCAACCCGACUCCACGAAGCUGGAUUCGCUAGUAAUCGCGCAUCAGCCACGGCGCGGUGAAUACGUUCCCGGGCCUUGUACACACCGCCCGUCAAGCCAUGGGAGCCGGGGGUACCAAAAGUGCGUAACCGCGAGGAGCGCCCUAGGGU